rnacentral:rRNA from 1 species
UACGUAGGUGGUAAGCGUUGUCCGGAAUUAUUGGGCGUAAAGCGCGCGCAGGCGGUCCUUUAAGUCUGAUGUGAAAGCCCACGGCUCAACCGUGGAGGGUCAUUGGAAACUGGGGGACUUGAGUGCAGAAGAGGAAAGUGGAAUUCCACGUGUAGCGGUGAAAUGCGUAGAUAUCAGGAGGAACACCAGUGGUGUAGACAGCUUACUGGACCAUUUCUGACGCUGAGACACGAAAGCGUGGGUAGCAAACAGG